rnacentral:lncRNA from 1 species
UAAGCAUCUUCAAAUCAAACAAUAAAAUAAUCCGACCUCUCCAACCAGGGCUGGCCCCAUGCAAACAUCCAAAUUCAGGAAUGUUGGUACUCAAGACCUCCCUAUUUUGCCACUGCUCUAGGAUUUAGGCUAUCUUUCUUAGCCCUUCCCCACAAGCAGAAUCCUUUCUCUGUAGAAGACUUCAAAACCCCAAGUGGCUAAAAAGGUUUACCCAGAGAAAACAAUGUUAACAGGGGAAGAAAUCUCUAACAUUGGAAUUCCAGGCUUUGCUCUCAGGCCA